GACCGGAUUUGACAGCGGGCAGAAGCGGUGUGUAAGCAUGCAGUGCGCCUGAAAGUGGGCACUUAAAUCUCGGCUUUCAAAAAUUUAUCUGGCGAAAACAACUACGCUAUCGCUGCCUAACCGAAGCACAGUAGGUUAUCGGCUUAAUUCCGACACAAGGUGACGGAACGAUACAUCACCCAAGGCUACAUGUCCCGAAGCGACUUGACAAGGUGGUGCAGCAAAAUCGGGACUGGUCUGAGGCGGCCUCGCGCCGAAGGCGAGAUUUUAGAGGAUAAGGCAACGGUUGGUGGCUCUGGUCUUGCCGCUGCACGAAAAUUCAGGCAGAGAUAAGCAUGUAGAAAGCAUAUUGGUUCCCUGUUUGGACGAGGGUUCGACUCCCUCCUGAUCCACC
rnacentral:tmRNA from 1 species